rnacentral:rRNA from 1 species
CCCUUAGAUGUCCUGGGCCGCACGCGCGCUACACUGAACGGAUCAGCGCGUUUUCCCUUCCCGAGAGGGACGGGUAACCUGCUGAACCCCGUUCGUGGUAGGGAUCGGGGCUUGCAAUUAUUCCCCGUGAACCAGGAAUGCCCAGUAAGUGCAAGUCAUAAGCUUGCGUUGAUUACGUCCCUGCCCUUUGUACACACCGCCCGUCGCUACUACCGAUUGAACGUUUUAGUGAGGUACUCGGACUGAGCCUCAGAAGAUUCACGUCUUUUGUGCUGCUCGGGAAGAUUCCCAACCUUGAGCGUUUAGAGGAAGUAAAAGUCGUAACA